rnacentral:tRNA from 1 species
GCUUGCUAAGUAUAUUAUAGUAUGAUUGCCUUCCAAGCAGUAGGUUUAAGGAAUUCUUAAAGCAAGUA